rnacentral:rRNA from 1 species
AGCGAACGCUGGCGGCAGGCUUAACACAUGCAAGUCGAACGCGCGUAGCAAUACGUGAGUGGCAGACGGGUGAGGAACACGUGGGAAUAUGCCCUUUGGUUCGGAAUAACUCAGGGAAACUUGAGCUAAUACCGGAUAUCUCCGAGAGGAGAAAGAUUUAUCGCCAAAGGAUUAGCCCGCGUCUGAUUAGCUAGUUGGUGAGGUAACGGCUCACCAAGGCGACGAUCAGUAGCUGGUCUGAGAGGAUGAUCAGCCACACUGGGACUGAGACACGGCCCAGACUCCUACGGGAGGCAGCAGUGGGGAAUAUUGGACAAUGGGCGCAAGCCUGAUCCAGCCAUGCCGCGUGAGUGAUGAAGGCCUUAGGGUUGUAAAGCUCUUUUGUCCGGGAAGAUAAUGACUGUACCGGAAGAAUAAGCCCCGGCUAACUUCGUGCCAGCAGCCGCGGUAAU